rnacentral:lncRNA from 15 species
UUACACUGGACAUUGUUUGGAACUUUCUCCAGGUUGCUUUUGCUGAUUAGUUUAACACAAUAAGACAAUUUUCUUCACUCUGUUCUAUCUUAGGGACUGCUACCACCUGGGCGUCCAGAUCAACUUUGACUAUCAUCGCUUCUUAAAGUUUGCCAGGGUGUGUGAGGUUGACGGCUGGAAGCACAUCUGUGUUAGAGACAAGGAGGAGGAUAAUAUGACUGAAAUGUUCCACACCAGGCUCUGUCUCCACAGAAGAGCCUACCAGCACAAAGUGACCAAGAUCAUAGAGACUAUGAUCACAGAUGCCUUUUUAAAAGCAGACAAGCACAUCAAGAUUGAAGGCACAGGAAAGGAAGACGUUUCAGACUCUCCACAGCCAUUGAUGACAUGGAAGCCUACACUAAGCUGACAGGUCUGUAGAUAGCACUGGGACAAAUCUGGUUCUCUAGCUGUAAGAACACGUGUUUGUUUGGUAAAUCUUUAUAAUAAUAAUCAUAAGCAAUUGUAAAAUAUGUCAUUACAAUUGCAAUUUGAUUUUUUUAAUUAAUUCACAUUUUAUUUAGCUGAUUUUCUUAAAGUUUGGUUAAAAUCUGUGCUAUAUUUUGAUAAAAACCUAGUUACUAACAGUUAGGCUACCUAGCUUAUUAUUGAGAAACUAACAGGUAUAUUGCAUUAAGAGGUAAUAAGUUUUGUUGGAGUUGUUGGAGUUUAAAACUCAUGUAAACGCUAUCAAAUCCAAUAAAGAGCAGGACAGUUGUAAACAUUACCCUAGACUUUGACACAGUAGCAACUACAAUCAUGUGAAUAUGCAUGUAAAUUCACUGAUCUUCCACUCUGUUUAUCUGUUUCUCUGUAGAUGCUGUGUUUGAAAAAAUACUCAACUGUGCAUUUGACGCACCCCAGGAGCUGAGGGAUGCAAGAGACAUUCUACGCAGGAUCAUUAAUCGAGACCUCUACAGGUUUCUGGGUGAAACGCGGUUUGAGGAUCCCACUGAGGUUUGUACUAAUGUCUUUGUGGGCCUUUAUUGCAUUACACUGUCUGUCAUAUCAUCUAUUUCUCUGUUAUGAUGAAGCUCCUUUUGUGUGCA